rfam:Ixodes scapularis strain Wikel colony gcontig_1108379342692, whole genome shotgun sequence.
UAAAUGGCCCUUUUCAGGGCCCCAUAUUUUACAAACGGAGCUGUUU